GCCACCGCCCCCGUCCCCGCUCCGCCCCGCUCCGCGGCUCGCCCCCUCCCCCGUCUGGCCAGACUGCGCGGCUCUGCACCUGAGCCCCGCCCCCUUCCGCCCCUCCCUCCCCUCCCUCCCCUCCCUCCCCUCCCUCCCCUCCUUCCCCUCCCUCCGCUCCCUCUCCUCCCCCACUUCCCGCCCACUCCCGCACACCUCUCCCCGCCGUACUGAGUGACCAGAGCGCGCACCAGUCACAAAGAAAGGGAGGAGCAAAGGAAGAGGGAGAGAGACAAUCUCAAGCCGACUCUCCACUGAGUGCGGAGCCCAGCACUGGGCUGGUUUCCCCAACCCAUGAGAUCACGACUCAAGCCAAAAUCAUGAUGAGCCAGAUGCUUAAAGAAAGAACAAGGAAAGAAUAAAGGAACAAAAGGAUGAGCGAAAAGUGAAGGAGGAGAAGGGAAGGAAAAAAAGAAAACACAGCAGGAGCAGUAAAGGAAGAAGCGGUGGAGUCCUGCUGCCUCUGUGUUGCAGUCACACAAUCUCGGGCCAGUUGCUUAAACCCUCGGAGCUGUGGGUUUUGUCGCUGGAAGAUGCGAUCCCACUCCUUGCCAGGCCUCCCUCACCAGUUCAUUACAAGGAGUUGCUGAGGAUGCAAUUGGCUUCCCCUAAGGGACCGUACGGGAAAUGAUCUGGAACAACACUGAAAAUCUGCAAAAGGUUUCGGAGCUUGAACUACAAUCCACAAUGAAGGUGGGAGUUUCCAGGAUGUGUCCUACUGUGUUUUCCCCGCUCCCUUUGGAACUUCCAUCCAUCUAUCUCUCUACUCCCUGCCGCAACUGGCACCACAUGCAGGAUACUCCGAAUAUCAAGUCCGGCAAGCAGUCGGGGUCUCCCCAGGAGAGGGCAUCCCAUCUGGAUGCCUCGUUUGGACCCCAGCAACCUGCGGCGUCGGGUCUGAGGGUUACGGCACCUCUACAACAUGUCAGACUGUUCGGCCGUCCUGGUCUUGCAUUCCCUGCCUCCCUAUCCCUGCUUUUGUUCUCUUGGGCUCUUCUGAAAACCACAUUUAUGUUCUUCACAUAUGGCAAGGAUUUUUGGUCAAAACUAAAAACCUAUACAAUGUGUUCCUUGGCAAAAGGAUUCGUUAAGCCAGGCUGGCUUCAACUUGAAAGAAAAGCUUUCAGUAGGCAGCAAAACAAAACAAAAAUCCCACAAACCACUCUGGCCACAUUGUAAUUCUUAUUCAUAAAAGCAAAACAUACUUACCCUUCACAUGUGUGCAUUAAAUAAAGCCCCCUUUCCCAGGGCAGGAAGGUGAGUGUUGGAGUCAUUAAAAUUUUUGUUCUCAAGCUACACGUGGUUCUAGAAAUCCACAUAGACACUUAACGUUUUUCUAACACGCUGGCUUUAUAGUAGGGAACUGAAUAAUUUUCUUAGGAAUUAACCCUCCGGCCAGAUGGCCCAAAGAGAACCCUGUAGAAGUGGUUAUCUGGGGACUGCUAUUAUCUACAGGGCACCAUGCUAGGGACCUUACACGUAGGUUUCUCAGAUUCCUUACCACUAGCCCAACAAGGUAGGUAGCAGGAUUAUCUCAUCCAUGGACAAGGAAACGGAGGCCUGGAGGUUAAGAAUCUCGCCCAAGACCUUUCAGCCCUUCUAUCAGGCUCCUCAUCACUGCUGAGAUGCCAGAGGCUUCCUAGUGUUCCCAUAAUCUUUGCCUCAUCUGGGUAUGUUUUCCUUUUUCUAUAAAGUGUUGGGAACCCAAGAUCAGGUUUGAGGGGGACAAGCAACUGGCCUUGGAGCAUGGGUCCCCCACAG